CAUGGAUUCUGAGUUUUGAGUCAUAGGUAGAAAGCCCUUCUCCACUCUAAGGUUACAAAGGUAAUUUUUUUUUCUUUUUUUAUGGCUUCACUGGUUACAUUUAAACUUUGAUUCAUUUGAAAUUUAUCCUUGUGUUCACUCCACAUUUCUACAUUUAUAUAUAUUUAAAUAUAUAAUAUGUAUAAUAUAUAGUGAGAAAUAAAGAAUGAAAGUGGGGGCAAGAGGCAGAGGGAGAGGGCAGCCCUGGUGGUGCAGUGGUUUAGCGCCGCCUGCAGUCCAGGGCGUGAUCCUGGAGACCCUGGAUCGAGUCCCACGUCAGAGACCCUGGAUCGAGUCCCACGUCAGGCUCUCUGUAUGAAGCCUGCUUCUCUCUCUGCCUCUCUCUCUCUCUCUCUUUGUGUUUAUGAAUAAAUAAAUAAAAUCUUUAAAAAAAAUUUAAAAAUUUAAAAAAAAAAUUAAAAAAUAAAAGAGACAGAGGGAGACAGUCUUAAGCAGGCUCCAUGCCCAGUGCAGAGCCUGACGUGGGGCUCAAUCUCACAACCCUGAGAUUGUGACCUUAGCCAAAAUCAAGAAUUGAACACUUAACUGACUGAGCGACCCAGGAGCCCCCACAUUUAUAUUCUUAACUAACACAUAACAUAAUCUUUCUCUAUUUGGGAAAGUUGUUGUAUUGGUCAGGAUAGGCAAAGUUAUGCCUAAUUACAACCCAAUUACAAACAAAUCCUAAUCUUAGUGGCUUUAAGAAGAAAAAUUUAUUUCAUGCUACAUUGUCCAUCAGGUUUUGCCAUAAGCUCUGCUCAGGGACAUCAACUUUACUCAGGGACCUAGACUGAUGAACCAGUCUCCAUCUAGAACAUUCCCAGUAUCACACAGAAGAGAGAUCAUGACCAAACACAGACUGCCUCUUCCAGCAUCUUCUCAGAAAUAACACAUCCUUUCUACUCUAGUGUCAUUUGCAAAAGCAAGUCUCACAACCAAUCUUGAUGCCAAUGGGAUUGUCCCUUGAGGAGUGACAGCAAAUAUUUGGGAACAACAAUUCAGCCUUUCAUAACUGUCCUUUCUGCUAAUGUGCAGAUUUGGAAAGAAACACACAUGGAGUCUGCAGCCAGCUGGGGACCCCAUCUCACCAGCUGGCUCAGGAACAUCACUGCUAGCCUGUCAUUGUACCUGAUGUCCCCAGGUCUUAUACUCUGCUCAGAUCAGAGGGCACAAGGACAGAAAGGGAGGAACAGUGGGCCUCACCCAGGGGACUGUUGUGAGUUGAAUUAUGCCUUCCUAAAAAGAUAUAUUGGAGUACCUACCCUCAUUCCUGGUGCCUCAGAAUGUUAUCCUAUUUGGAGAUGGGGUCUUUAUAGAGAGACUCAGGUUAAGAUGAGAUCAUUAGGAUGAGUAGUGAUCCAAUAUGACUGAUAUCUUUACAAAAAGGGGAAAUUAGGACACACACAUGUACUGGGGGAAGAUAGUGUGAAUAUGCAGGGGAAAGAUAGCCAUCCACAAGCCAAGGAAGGAGGUCUGGAAAAGAUUCUACAUUCAGAGCCCACAAAAGGAACCGGCCCUGACAACACCUUAGUGUUAGCCUUCCAGCCUCCAAGACCAUGAGAUGAUAAGUGUCUGCCGUGCAAACUACCCAAUUCUGGGUUACGGCAGCCUAGGCGAAUGAAUACAGGGAACACCUCCAGUUGCUUGGUAGGGGCUUCCUGGAUGCUCUUUUAAAAGUGUUUCUGGUGCCACACUGGAUGAGCAGGAAAGACAUCCAUGACCAACGAUCGAUGCUAUUUAUGAAAGUGAGCUUGGGAGCAGUAUUGGAUUUGGAAUCAACUGGCCAGGAAAUGCACCUGGGUUCUAGGAUGUUGUGACUUUUCCAGGAAAACAGGGGCUUUGCUGAAAGAUGAGGGAGGGAGCAUGGAGAGCCAGCAUAGCAUCCACGGGGAUAUUGGUCCCUAGCCUUGCUCAGCAAUAAAGCAAUCAGCCCUUUACUAAUAAGAUAGCACUAGCAACUUGCAAGAGAAAGUCAAAGUCUCAAACAAGAUGAGAGCUCCUUAAUAUUUCACCAGAUG
rnacentral:lncRNA from 1 species